rnacentral:rRNA from 1 species
UCUAGGCUUAACCUAGAGCUGCAGGCGAACUGCCGUGCUGAGGUGGAGAGUGCGUGAUCCCGUGUAGCGUGAAAUGCGUAGAUAUCGGGAGGAACACCUGUGGCGAAAGCGGCGCACUGGACCACAUCUGACGCUGAGGCGCGAAAGCUAGGGGAGCAAACAGGAUUAGAUACCCUGGUAGUCCUAGCCCUAAACUAUGGAUGCUUGGUGUGAUCGGUACCCAAUCCGAUCGUGCCGCAGCUAACGCGUUAAGCAUCCCGCCUGGGGAGUACGGUCGCAUGGCUGAAACUCAAAGGAAUUGACGGGGGCCCGCACAAGCGGUGGAGCAUGUGGUUUAAUUCGACGCAACGCGAAGAACCUUACCUGGGCUCGAAAUGUAGUGGACCGGGGUAGAAAUAUCCCUUCCCCGCAAGGGGCCGCUAUAUAGGUGCUGCAUGGCUGUCGUCAGCUCGUGUCGUGAGAUGUUGGGUUAAGUCCCGCAACGAGCGCAACCCUUAUCUUCAGUUGCUACCAUUUAGUUGAGCACUCUGACGAAACCGCCUCGGAUAACGGGGAGGAAGGUGGGGAUGACGUCAAGUCCUCAUGGCCUUUAUGUCCAGGGCUACACACGUGCUACAAUGGCCGGUACAAACCGUCGCAAACCCGCGAGGGGGAGCUAAUCGGAAAAAGCCGGUCUCAGUCCGGAUUGGAGUCUGCAACUCGACUCCAUGAAGCUGGAAUCGCUAGUAAUCGCGGAUCAGCACGCCGCGGUGAAUACGUUCCCGGGCCUUGUACACACCGCCCGUCACAUCACGAAAGUGGGUGGUACUAGAAGUCGGUGCGCUAACCGCAAGGAGGCAGCCGCCCAAGGUAUCAUUCAUGAUGGGGUGAAGUCGAGAAGCUG